rnacentral:pre_miRNA from 1 species
AUUGUAUUCCCUCCGUCCGAAAAUACUUGUCAUCAAAAUGAAUAAAAGGGAAUGUAUCUAGACGUAUUUUAGUUCUAGAUACAUCUUUUUUUAUCCAUUUUGAUGACAAGUAUUUUCGGACGAAGGGAGUACAUC